rnacentral:rRNA from 1 species
AUGCCACGAACAACAACUUCGACGCCAAGAUGCAAGCUCAAAUGGAGGAGAUCCAAUCCCAUCAAAUACUACAAGCGAUCUUCCUCAUCUUCGAGAAGACUCUCAAGAGCACAUGCCUCCGAGCUACCAUCUCCGGCAAGGUCACAUCGGCAUCGACACCAUCACCACCACGAACGUGAAGGUCAAGAGCUCAAUACCAACAACCGCUCAACGACUUCACCAUCUCCCUUGGCAUCUUCGCCAAGUGACUUCAAGGCAUCUUCGCCUUCGGAUAUACGGCAUCUUCGCCAACAAGCACCUCAAGACUACGCUUAA